GGGAGAGAAAGGCAUAGGACAGCCAGGUCCUUCAGGCCGAGAUGGACCUCAAGGUUUGAAGGGGGAUCCAGGGCUUCCAGGUCCAGCUGGACCUCCAGGGCCUCUGGGGAAGCCAGGGAACGCCGGACUACCUGGUGUAAGAGGAGAAAAUGGACAACCAGGACCUCCUGGCCUGCAGGGGGAGAGGGGUCUCCAAGGCAUUGCAGGGCGUGCAGGAAACGUUGGAUCCCCUGGUCCUGCUGGAACUGCUGGAGAAGCUGUGAGUUCUGUUCUUAUUACACUAUGAUAAGUAUCCAGGGUAUCAUGCCUGGAAUAUGACCAAUGCCUUGUUUUCUAGGGGCCUUCUGGUGCUCCAGGGGUCAAAG
ensembl:lncRNA